AUUGACUUGGCAGAAUUAAUGCACCUGAUUUAGGAUCAGCUUAUAAUAUGUAUAUAUUAGUCGAUA
rnacentral:tRNA from 1 species